rnacentral:rRNA from 1 species
UGCGCAGGCGGAACUUUAAGUCAGUGGUGAAAUCUUGCCGCUUAACGGUAAAAUUGCCAUUGAUACUGAAGUUCUUGAAUAUGGUUGAGGUGGGCGGAAUGUGUUGUGUAGCGGUGAAAUGCAUAGAUAUGACACAGAACGCCGAUUGCGAAGGCAGCUUACUAAGCCAUUAUUGACGCUGAGGCACGAAAGCGUGGGGAGCGAACAGGAUUAGAUACCCUGGUAGUCC